rnacentral:rRNA from 1 species
UACAGAGGGUGCGAGCGUUGUUCGGAAUUAUUGGGCGUAAAGAGCGUGUAGGCGGCCAGGUAGGUCUGCUGUGAAAACUCGAGGCUUAACCUCGAGAUGUCGGCGGAAACCAUCUGGCUAGAGUCCGGAAAGAGGAGAGCGGAAGUUCCUGGUGUAGCGGUGAAAUGCGCAGAGUAUCAGGAGGAACACCCGUGGCGAAGGCGGGUUGCUGGGCUGACACUGACGCUGAAGCGCGAAAGCUAGGGGAGCGAACGGG